UGUGACCUCAAAUCAGGUAGGACUACCCGCUGAACUUAAGCAUAUCAAUAAGCGGAGGAAAAGAAACUAACAAGGAUUCCCCUAGUAACUGCGAGUGAAGCGGGAAAAGCUCAAAUUUAAAAUCUGGCAGUCUUUGGCUGUCCGAGUUGUAAUCUAGAGAAGUGUUAUCCGCGCUGGACCGUGUACAAGUCUCCUGGAAUGGAGCGUCAUAGAGGGUGAGAAUCCCGUCUUUGACACGGACUACCAGGGCUUUGUGAUGCGCUCUCAAAGAGUCGAGUUGUUUGGGAAUGCAGCUCAAAAUGGGUGGUAAAUUCCAUCUAAAGCUAAAUAUUGGCGAGAGACCGAUAGCGAACAAGUACCGUGAGGGAAAGAUGAAAAGAACUUUGGAAAGAGAGUUAAACAGUACGUGAAAUUGCUGAAAGGGAAACGCUUGAAGUCAGUCGCGUCGUCC
rnacentral:rRNA from 1 species